GCUGCUCCUUUCUCCCUUGAGAGGUUUUUUGGUGUUCCCCAGCUAAAUCAUGAGUUCGUACAGUCAUGGGCUAUUAAUAACAUCUGGGAAUAAACUCACAUUGGUAAUGUUUGCAAAGGUGUAUCUACCAAGUUUGAAAUGCAGUUUCCCUAGAUGACUUUGACAGCUGCAGAAAGUUGGGGUCCCAUAACUUACUUUAUUUAAGUAGCAUGUGAGGUGUCAAACUAGGGUUAAUUCAUCGCAAUUUUAUCUGCUCGAUAAACACUCAUUAAGCUUAACAGCCCCACAAAGUUUGCGAUAAGCUGGAGAGACUAUGGACCCCUCCUGUUUGAACCCUCAUGCUACUUAAAAGUCAAGAGUUGACAGGUCCAUUUUAAGUCAGUCAAUCUAAGCCAAAUAAAGGUCUUUCCCAAAAGAAAUUGCAAUAGUAAUACAAUACAGUUUUUAUUGGCCCUUAUAUCCUCCUGUAUCAUAUAUUAAAAGUUUCCCUUCGUAGGAACACUUUUUCAAGGUAAAAGCAAAGUUUUUAGAUUUAAAGCGGUGUGGUCUUGGACAAAUGGUGUUAAAUAGUGAAUGCUUUAUACAGUUAUCCAAUAUAAACAUUUUCUAUUUUGGGGGUCAAUCUUUCCAAUGAUUUUUGAGAGGAUAUUUUAAUGUCUGAUGCUUGUAUUUUGUUUGCCGCCUUUGGCCCUUACAGUUUGCCGCACUGCUCAGACAGGAGUAAAAUAAUCUAACCUUAUAGACAUGGUUAAAGAUAAAAUAAGUAAAAUGUAUAAAAGUGUGUCACCCCCAGAGGUCAGAUUGUGAAAAACUGCAACUGUAACAAUAUUUGGAAAAAUGACAGCCAAAUAGUCAGAGGCUUUGACAUAAAUCUUGGAAUAAGUUUAAAAAGGUGUUUGAUGGCAGGUGCUGAAAUGUGGGUUACCCAGUUGUCUGUGGCACAUUUUUGAUUUACACGCCAUUAAAAUGUUCUUAUUUUGAUCAUAAGACCCAAUUACUAAAUGUCCAGGUUUUAUUCAGAAUAUGUAUGACACUUUUUUACUACAAAAUAUGGCAUAUGAGUCCAAUAUUACUAGACGUUAUCAAUUGUUUUAUUUGCAAGGACAAAUGUCGCCACAAGCUUACUAUAGAUUACUAUUGAAAUUAGUUUUGGGUCAAACCUCAGAUUGACUUAACUAUUUGGUAUCAUUUUACAUUCUUGGGUUAAAUUAUUAACACCAGAGUAACUGAAUUUACAGUCUACCAUUAGAAUGUAAGAAUUUAUUUGCCUGUUUUCUCUCCUAUGGUACCACAUCAAUAUAUGGAAUUGGACAGAAUCGUAUCAAACAACAACAUACUCAAAGUUGAAUGGAGAGUUGGUAACCAAAUGGACCUUUUAACAGAUCUAACCCCUUAGAUCUAACAUCUAAUUUUAAUGGUUAAACAAUUUACACAACUAGUGUACAGUACAAUAUUUUUUAUUUUGAUCUAUGUUUGCCUGUUUUCCACAAGUACAUCAGUAUAGAAUGGAAUUGUGGACAAAGUUGUAUCUAACAACAACAAAAUAUAACAUUUUGGAUGUGAUGCUACAUCUCAAAUGGUGGUCCAUGG